rnacentral:lncRNA from 1 species
UCCAUUUCGACCCAUCUAAUGAUGAAAGAGGUCCCUGAUGUUGCCAAGUGUCCCAUGGCACCAUUAAAUAAAUUAAAUUAAUUAUUAAUCAUAUUAAAAAUCAAUUUAUGGCGCCUUGCAUGGAUAUGUGACAAGUGGAUUUCAAGAUCCGAACAGUUUCAGAUCAAAUCCAUUUAAUUUAAUUAAAUCCUAACAAUUAGAAUGGUCCAAUUACCAUGGGUUGAACCUAAUCCAAUUAGGUCAAUCCCUAAUUAAGCACAAAUUUAAUCUAAUUUAAUUUGGUCAACCUAAGUCCUCUUGAUUCAGACCUAAUCCAAUCAGGUCAAAAAACCUGAU